CAUCGCUUCAGUCAUCAAAAAUUCAUUAAGUGCCCAUCUGCAAAAGGCACUAAAUACAGGAAUCCUAGCUUCCUUCUUACUCCAUAAGGCAAACUUUCAAAUAAUAAGCAGAUCCACAGCAGAUGGACUGGUUUUUAGCACUCCUGAGGGGGAGAGGAUGGAGCCAGUCUGUCUCUGUCUCUCUCUAAAUCUAGAGAGAACGUGAGCCAGCG
rnacentral:lncRNA from 1 species